UCCUUUUUUCUCUGCACUACAGGAGUUAAUGUCCUACCUGUCCCAUCCGACAGUUCAGUGUUUGUGUUUUUUAGUGUAAUCUGCCCAGACGCCUGCAGUUCAGAGCAACAAGGCGCGACCUUUCCGCAGCAUGGGGGAACUGGGUCAGUCCCUGCGGAGUCGACAACAAGACUUCAACAGCGUUUAGGCCAGAGCGGGUUGGGGGUUAGUCCAUGUGACAAGAGCUGGGUGUCGUAUAUGUUUUUCAGAAGGGUUCACACAUCAACCCAACCACGGGCAAAACGAGACCGCUCCGUCUCUAGCUCCCCUUAUCUGUUUCCCAUUUUCUAUUUUUAAUCUGCUGGCAUUCCCUCCCCGCCCCUCUGCUGUUGCCGGAGCAAAACUCUGUGGCCCUUAAAAUGAUUUAGUUCAGCCUCUGACUGCAAGUUCAAAGAAAGGUAAAAAUUUGGUCAGCACAACCGGAAAAAAUACUAAGUUCUCAUGUCACAAUUCCAUAAACUUUGUAACUGACAGCCAUUUUGGUGAUCUGUUGCUAUGGAGUUGCUAUGACAACAACUAACCAGCCACAAGCUAAGAAGUAGCUCUCACCUUGUUCCUUUCUAACUUAUAAACAAGUAAGUACAUUACAACUAUUACUUGAUUACAGUUUUUGAGUAAUCUACCCACCUCUGUAUAAUACUAAGAUAAAUAUCAGUGAUAUUUACUGCAGAACUAGCAAAAAUAUCUAAGCUCUUAUCUGCUAGUUAAAACAUAUAAACAUGUAGCAUACAUGUUUGUUACUACAUGUAUUCACUCUGGUAGUCACCAGAACAUAGUUAUUCACAUGAUGAGUUUGCAUGUACUUUAAAAGUCUGAUUGUAUACGUCCAUGGAUUUCAGGCUGAUUUCAUUACUUUGGCUGAAUCACAAGCUGCUUAUUAGCAAAACCUUUUUAUUAGGAACCUUAAAUUUUGGUAAAGGUGUAGAAGAGAUUAGAUCAGUGAGACCGAACUCGUAUCUAAACAACAUCUGAAUUUUAGUUUUACUUCUUAGCAGGUUGCUUAUCUUACUGAGAAAAACACGUGUUUGAUGUGGAUUACUAGGCAUUUUUGAUUUUCCAACUUGAAUUUAAAAACUUUUUAGACCACAUUUUAUGUAACAUUUCACUGUAACUUUGCCGACCCCCCCAAAAUUGGUCUUAAGAAAUUUUCCUGUUUUUUCAUCUUAAAUAAAUUUUUUUUAGCAAAAUAAAUGAUAAACGAUACAACAUUAGACUGCAGGAAUACAUGGUCCUGAGAAAAUCUGCUCCAAAACACAAUCACACUUUGGUAUUUAGAGGUAAAAUGUUGCAUCUCAUUUUAUCUUUCUUCAGACGGUGUAAUUAUAUAAAUUAAAAGCAGUUCUUUUGAAAGAAAACCUGAGCCAAAGCUAUUAAGGAACCUGCUGAGGUUGAUUUUUACCAUCUGCCUCAACAGAUGUCGGCUGCAGUGAGCGAGGGUUCAUCUUCUUCUCCAAACAGCCGAAUGUAGGAGGGGUUGUGUGACCAUGCCUGACCCAGGCUCAGGUUAAUCCUCUCCUUUGGGCCGCUCCAUCUGCAUCUUUGAUUGAGAGUUGGCAACCCUCGAAGUUCCAGUACAUAACCUCAUUGAGAGGAAACCAGUUUUUACAAAUCAUGCACUCAGACCAUAGAGAAAUCAGUCAGUAAAUUCGAAGAUACUCCACCUAUUUCUUAUACCGUCAGCAGGAAUGUCUAACAAACAUUUUAAAAGUGUAUGAAAACUUAUUCCUGCAGGAAUGGUGGCUUCAGGUCAAACGAGGGGACGGUCACUUGGCAGCCUGCAGUGGAAAACGCCAGACAGUGGUGUCAUCUUCUCUUAAGUAACAUAAUCAGCUUAGAAGGGUUGAUGCAAAGCACUGAAGAUGCUGCUUAGGACAGUGAACGCACUUCCAGGUUUGCCAAUUUUUUCUGCAACACACUGACAGUUUGAGACCGACAGGAGAAAGACAGACUGUCCGAGGAAGAGCUCUUUGUGAAAUCCAAUUAUUACUGAAGUGGAUAGUUUAGACUAAUGAGGUCAUUCGUCAACAGUCACUUUAGCCCGGUCUGCAGAAACAAUUGCACACCAGAUGACGCUUUAAACAGGACAGACCAGAAUAGUCAAAGCAUGCAUUUGUUGACAGAAAAACCUCUGCAGGUGUUCAACAGCAGCAAAUAUUCACACAAAAUGAAAAUAUGCUCCUACUGUGCUGCGGCAGAAAUCAAAGAUGACAUUAAUGCCUUUUAAAAGAAGCAUCGGUCCUCGCUAACUGAUACCCAAAAGUGGUUUACAGCCAGCAUCUGCUAAAAGGAUCAUCUGUCAAAGAAAAUACUUGUUUCUGUGAGCAGGGAAACUGCGGCUGGUCCGGAUCUGUUACUGCAGGCUGAGCUUCAAGCUUCCAAAGAAGAGAUUUGAAAAUAUUUUUUCAACGUUCAGUAGUUUGCAUUGCAAACAGCGCAGGAAGUUCUAUCAUACAACGGUGUAUCAUUGGAGAAUAAAGGAGUAAAUUUCAAAUUUUGAGAUCUCAGAGAUUUUC